CGGGACACGUGGUAUCCUGUCUGAAUAUGGGGGGACCAUCCUCCAAGGCUAAAUACUCCUGACUGACCGAUAGUGAACCAGUACCGUGAGGGAAAGGCGAAAAGAACCCCGGCGAGGGGAGUGAAAAAGAACCUGAAACCGUGUACGUACAAGCAGUGGGAGCACGCUUAGGCGUGUGACUGCGUACCUUUUGUAUAAUGGGUCAGCGACUUAUAUUCUGUAGCAAGGUUAACCGAAUAGGGGAGCCGAAGGGAAACCGAGUCUUAACUGGGCGUUAAGUUGCAGGGUAUAGACCCGAAACCCGGUGAUCUAGCCAUGGGCAGGUUGAAGGUUGGGUAACACUAACUGGAGGACCGAACCGACUAAUGUUGAAAAAUUAGCGGAUGACUUGUGGCUGGGGGUGAAAGGCCAAUCAAACCGGGAGAUAGCUGGUUCUCCCCGAAAGCUAUUUAGGUAGCGCCUCGUGAAUUCAUCUCCGGGGGUAGAGCACUGUUUCGGCAAGGGGGUCAUCCCGACUUACCAACCCGAUGCAAACUGCGAAUACCGGAGAAUGUUAUCACGGGAGACACACGGCGGGUGCUAACGUCCGUCGUGAAGAGGGAAACAACCCAGACCGCCAGCUAAGGUCCCAAAGUCAUGGUUAAGUGGGAAACGAUGUGGGAAGGCCCAGACAGCCAGGAUGUUGGCUUAGAAGCAGCCAUCAUUUAAAGAAAGCGUAAUAGCUCACUGGUCGAGUCGGCCUGCGCGGAAGAUGUAACGGGGCUAAACCAUGCACCGAAGCUGCGGCAGCGACGCUGAUGCGUUGUUGGGUAGGGGAGCGUUCUGUAAGCCUGCGAAGGUGUGCUGUGAGGCAUGCUGGAGGUAUCAGAAGUGCGAAUGCUGACAUAAGUAACGAUAAAGCGGGUGAAAAGCCCGCUCGCCGGAAGACCAAGGGUUCCUGUCCAACGUUAAUCGGGGCAGGGUGAGUCGACCCCUAAGGCGAGGCCGAAAGGCGUAGUCGAUGGGAAACAGGUUAAUAUUCCUGUACUUGGUGUUACUGCGAAGGGGGGACGGAGAAGGCUAUGUUGGCCGGGCGACGGUUGUCCCGGUUUAAGCGUGUAGGCUGGUUUUCCAGGCAAAUCCGGAAAAUCAAGGCUGAGGCGUGAUGACGAGGCACUACGGUGCUGAAGCAACAAAUGCCCUGCUUCCAGGAAAAGCCUCUAAGCAUCAGGUAACAUCAAAUCGUACCCCAAACCGACACAGGUGGUCAGGUAGAGAAUACCAAGGCGCUUGAGAGAACUCGGGUGAAGGAACUAGGCAAAAUGGUGCCGUAACUUCGGGAGAAGG
rnacentral:rRNA from 1 species